rnacentral:lncRNA from 1 species
AAAACAUUUGGGCCAAUCAGGAAAAUGCGAAAACUCUGACUACAAAUUUAAUGAUAUCUAGAAUUAUUGUUAAUAGUUUAAGGUGAUAGAGGCUAUGUUCCUAAGUGAAGAAUGAAGUAGUGGCAGUUCCAUCAGAUGCUUAGAGCCAGAGACAGUCCUAAGCAAACACCUGGAAAAGAAAUCCGGUGAGAAAUUCCAAGCAAUAGGAAUUUUCUCUGAAGAUCACUUGGAAGUGCCCCAUGAGAAAAACCACUAGCUUCAAACCCCUGCCAAGCCCAGAGAAUGCCUUACACUGAAAUAGAUCAUCAUAAAAUUAAUAGCCCCUCAAACACUGCCUGGCUCAGAGUUGGCGCUUGUUAAAAUUUUGAGGAAGCAAGCAAGCAAGCACAUGGGAGGAUACCAAAACAUGGCAGUAAAAGGAGCUAAACACACAAAAGAAAAGACAGAGUUCUGCUCUUGUUGCCCAAGCUGGAGUGCAGUGG